CUCGACUAAAUAUUCAGCAUCGAGAAGUAAACAAUGCAUUAAUCUAUGCGAGAACAGACAUGAUUAAAGAAGAUUUCAUGGGUAAAAUAGUGAAUAAAUAAAUAAAUAAAUAAAUAAGAUGAAGGAGGAAGAACAGUGCAGCGAGCAGCCAGCAGGUGACACGCAUUGUACAAUUUCCCCAGAAUUCCUCUGCUCUCAACACACACACACACACACACUUCUAUCAGCGAUCUAAAACAAGCACGAGAGAAAAUAGGACUGAUUUAAUCCUCCGACAUCUAUAGAAAUCAGAUGCAAGCUCUGAUGGUGUAAGAUGGCAGACAUACCGGCAAAACACUCCAAGCAAGUAACAUUAACAUUCAUGCGCCAGGUGGCGAGCAAAGUUCUUCACCAAACAAGUGUUAAGUGGGAGGUCAGGGCUAUAAAUAAUACAAAAAUAUCAUCAUAACAACAACAAUGCGUUUUUGAAAUAAUACGCGCGUCUCCAACAAACUACACGACGCAUUUCGUGCACGCUUUAAGAAGCAGCUACCAAUAUAAAUAAAACAAUAUAAAACCAUAUCACAGCUUCAUGUAAACCAGUGUUUUAUAUCAAACUGCCAGUCAGUCAGUCAGGAUGCCUGCGCUCACAGCGAAAUAAACCCUACCGACUGGUGGAGGGGCCACGAAAUAAAUAAAUAAAGCAAUCAAAAGUGUCCAGCAAUUUAUUUACCAAAGUAUCACGCACACAUUCAUCAUCCGAGACUUAACAAGCUUGGCUGCACUUUUGCAACGAGUCAAGUCUUCUGAAAAAUAAAUAAAUAACUAAAUGAAUAAUAUCCUAUCAACUCUUGCAUCCGCUUCGGGAACAUGAUAAAAAAAAUUCCCGAGACAGUCCGUGUUAAAAACGCUCAAGUUUUUUCAAGAAAAUAAUACGAUAUUAGCGAACGUGCUAAUAUGCUAAGUGCUAUUAAGCCAGCUAGCUUAGCAGCGCAGCACAUCCCCAUACAGAGCUAAGCAGCAGCAGCUGGCUAAACCACACACACACAGCUAGCGCUCUGGCUGCUAGCGGGCUAGCAAGCUAGGUGGCUAAAUUAGUCUGUGUUUUAUGACUACUUCCGACAGAUGACUAUCGAUAAUUUAUGAUGAGAAGCACAAGCUUCAGUUCCCAUCGCUCCGCGCACAGAGACUACAGUGAGCAUACACACCUCGCUCGCCAACUCCGCGCGCUCUUCAGAGGACGAGUGACUGCGCUGCUGCCCGGUCGCGUUACUAAACAGACGCCAUUUUGUUACAAUGUUGUAGUUUACAUGAAUCCGACAUGACACUGAUUACAACCCAAUGGAGCCUCAUUAAACCUCGCCUUCUUAUCGACGGGUCCUCCCAAGAAACUUUCAUAUUGGUUAGGAAGGGCAAAUGCCGAUCUCUGGUUUGAUAACAAAAGUGUCAAUCAAGCAGAAGGCGUUCAGCCCCUGGAGAAGUCGAUUGGCUCCAUGAUCUGUCAAUAAUCACUUGACCCGCCUUUUAAGGUGACCACUGUUCCCUGUCUGCGCGUGACAUAUCAAAUGGCACACCUGCAAUUCUCCAGCGUGCGUGCACAAAAUCCGACGUGAAAAUAUCACUCGUGCUCACGUUAUUAUUAUUAUCAUCAUUAUCUAUAUUUAAUCGACCCAAUUAAUCGAUAUUGAACUUAAAAUCACAACAUGCGCGCGUUCUACCUUUAGACAGUCCGCUAUUCAGAAUUAAACUGAAGGCAUUAGCGCACAUCACCAACAGCAAGACAUAUUUCCGAAAUGUAAUGAUCAUGUAGACUAAUUAACCAAAUUGUAGCCUGUCUGGAUGAUUUGUAGCAUGUCUCAUCAGGAUAUAUAGCCCACAAUGUAGUCUAAACUCUGAAAGACGAGUUUGCCUGUAGUGCGCGAGCACGCUGCUUUAAACGCUUUCCUUAUGCACUAUUUUGGACAAGGUUCGAAAUAACAUUUUAAACAUGCACAAUAAAAAGUCAAAGUCCUACGUCGCGAGACGGAUCCGCGUUCAUAUCGGUUCUAAUGCUUUCCGAUCGCCAAAUCAAAAGCGCUUAAAGUGCGCGGUGAUGACUGCGCCCCGCAUCCAGUCUUAAAUCAAACCAAGCACGAGCCUUGAGCUAACGUCCGCUCGCUCACUCGACAUCAAGCUGCUGAGAAUCGGUGCGAUCUGGAACAUUCCGUCUCUGCGUGUCGAGCACUUGAUCGCUGCACUCGAUCAAGUCACAUCACUCACAGCAAGUUGAACGAGCUAAAACAUUUAUGACUAAUUAACAACUCUAAACACAGCUCGGGUAUCGCGGAGCUUAAAGCCAGAACGUUUCCGUUACCUCAAGUUGCUCGACGGUCGCUCCGCUCCCGGCGGAAGCACUUAAUAAACGGGUUUAUUUGAAGCGGAGUAAAAAAAAAUAAUAAUAAUGAAAUAAAUCGCGUAAAGGGGGUCGAUUAAAAUCCAGCGGGUCCCGUUUGAUCCAGCGAAUAAAAAGCGCGGUGGAGGCAGAGGGAACCUGAUAUAACAACUAAUUGAAAGGUUAAUCUACAUGAGAGUGUGUGGCAAAGUAGUACCUCCCCUUUCAGCACUUCCAUCAGCCACAGAGGAGAGAGGACUCGCUGCGAGCGCCAUGUGACAUCACAUCGGUCACUGUAGAAAACAAUGUACAUUACUG
ensembl:lncRNA